CAUAAGUGUUAUCUUCCUAUAGGGACACGUAUCGCCCUUUGAUUGGGCUACGUGUCACUAUGGGAUUGGUCCACGUUUUGGGGUAACUUUUACCCUAAACUAAAGUCGAUUAGCACAAGUGGUCAUUUGAAGUCCCAUUUGUCAUCCAUCUUCAUUUACUUUCCUUAGAGAAAGUUAUUUUUUUGCUUUGUUUUGUUUUCUACAUUAGUGAGUUUUAUUUCUAAUUUUCUGGGUUUUUCUCAAAUAUUCUGGGAUUUUGAUUUUCGUUAUGUAUGGGAAUUUUAUAUUAGGGUUCUAAUCGUAGGGAAGGUGAUUUGGAUUCAUAUAAAUUUUUGUCAUCAACUCUAGUAUCAAUAUUAGCGCAAAUUGCGAAGGUCUUUAGUUGGAAAGAUGCAAAAAUAUCGAAAAUCACUGUUCGCAUCAAGUUUGAAGCGUUGGAGUGUGAGACAUGCCAAAUAUACAAAAUAGUUAUGGUUUUAUUUAUAAAGGUUUUGUUAUUUUCUCUAAAUAUGUGGUUUACAAAUCUAUGUUAUUAUUGUAAAUGUCGUAUGACUUUUUAUUUAUUUAUUUAUUUUUAUUUUUAUUUUUGAAUAGCUCGUAUGACUUUUCAUUAAUGAUAUUAAUAUAGUAUUCUUAUUCUCGUAAAAAAAAUAUAAUAAAUAACACAACAUGACAUUAUCCAUUUCUUCAUCAAUAAGUAUAUUAAUAAUGUCAUUCAUGUAAGAUAAAUGAGCAAGAUAUUGUACAGAAAACAACACACAUAAUACUUCAAAAAAAACAAGAGAGUAAGCCAAUCCAAUCACACAAGUUUCUGUCUCUAGGAAACUAGAGCCUUAUCCCCAACCGCUUUCCACCGUCUUCCACCUUCAGCAACUUCAUCAAUCAUCUUCAUACAAUUUCGAUCAUCGAUCCAGAAAAUAAUUUAAUGUUUUAUAACCACUUUUUUCCUUUAAUUUCCUUGUUCUUUUCGGUAUUCCUACUUAUUAAUAAAGAUUCCACUAUUUUUGUUGUUCUCCUGUUUCAAUUAAGAUGACGGUAACUCAACCCUUCGCUCAAACAAGCCGAAGUCGCUUAUCCUCAAGCCUUAAUCCCUAUUUUCUCCAUCUUCUGGUACUGGGCAAGUUCAUAGACUAUAGGAAUUUCUCAGAGACCCGAAUUUAAAGGUUCAGCAGCGUACCAAGAGGCUCUCUUGAUCUUUACACCUUGGACUCGGGGUAAGUCAAUCAGAGAUAUGAAAUUUAACGAGGCUGAUAUUUGGGUUCAUCUCAGUGAGGAACCUCUAAACUUAUGCGAGAAUAAUGUCGUUAAUCCAAUGCUUGCUCUGGCUUGGAAAAUUCUAUGUAUUGAUGAACCCCAUAUAGGAUUAAUUAGAUGCUUGGUUAGAGUAAAACUCCA